AUUGAACGCUGGCGGCAGGCCUAACACAUGCAAGUCGAACGAGUGGCGGACGGGUGAGUAAUGUCUGGGAAACUGCCUGAUGGAGGGGGAUAACUACUGGAAACGGUAGCUAAUACCGCAUACCAUCGGAUGUGCCCAGAUGGGAUUAGCUAGUAGGUGGGGUAACGGCUCACCUAGGCGACGAUCCCUAGCUGGUCUGCGUGGAUGACCAGCACAACUGGAACUGAGAAAAGGGCCAGACUCCUACGGGGGGAAGCAGGGGGGAAUAUUGGACAAGGGGCGAAAGCCUGAUGGAGACAUGCCGGGGGGAUGAAGAAGGCCUUCGGGUUGGAAAGUACGUUCAGCGGGGAGGCGUUACCCGCAGAAGAAGCACCGGCUAACUCCGUGCCAGCCGCCGCGGUAAUAC
rnacentral:rRNA from 1 species